rnacentral:sRNA from 1 species
CCUGAAAUCAGAGAUUUUAAAUAUGAUGAUGCUGG